rnacentral:rRNA from 1 species
AACGAACGCUGGCGGCAUGCCUAACACAUGCAAGUCGAACGAGACCUUCGGGUCUAUUUGCGCACGGGUGGGUAACGCGAGGGAACCUGCCCGUAGGGUCGGACUAACUCCCCGAAAGGGGUGCUAAUACCGGAUAAAGUCUUCGAACGAAAGAUUUAUCGCCUUAGGAUCGGCCGGCGUUGGAUUAGCAAGUUGAUAGGGUAAAAGCCUACCAAGGCGACGAUCCAUAGCUGGUCUGAGAGGAGGGUCAGCCACACUUGAACUGCGGCACGGCCAAGACUCCUAGGGGAGGCAGCAGUGGGGAAUAUUGGACAGUGGGCGAAAGCCUGAUCCAGCAAUGCCGCGUGAAUGAUGAAGGCCGUAGGGUUGUAAAGCUCUUUUACCCGGGAUAAUAAUGACAGUACCGGGAGAAUAAGCUCCGGCUAACUCCGUG